rnacentral:rRNA from 1 species
UACGUAGGGGGCUAGCGUUGUCCGGAAUCAUUGGGCGUAAAGCGCGCGUAGGCGGCCCGGUAAGUCCGUUGUAAAAGUCCAGGGCUCAACCCUGGAAAGCCGAUGGAUACUGCCGGGCUAGAGUCCGGAAGAGGCGAGUGGAAUUCCUGGUGUAGCGGUGGAAUGCGCAGAUAUCAGGAGGAACACCAAUAGCGAAGGCAGCUCGCUGGGACGGCACUGACGCUGAGGCGCGAAAGCGUGGGGAGCGAACAGG